GUCAUUCUUCUUUUCAUUGUUAAUAUUUUUUAGGCUUAAUAUUGGAUUAGUUUCUAGAUUUUAACCCCUCUAUUUCUGACUUUCAAUUUUAUCCAAUCCUCUCUAUUUUGUCAAUUUCAAAAUGAAACCAAACACCUAAGUUAAAUAUAUUAGUGUAGGGACUUAAGAACGAAAUGACUCGUUAUGACUUAGAAGGUGACUUCCAUAUUUCAGCAUAUAUAAAACUAAUAUGUAGUUUGGUGAAUAUUAGUUAAU
rnacentral:lncRNA from 1 species